CACGUAGGAGGCGAGCGUUGUCCGGAAUCAUUGGGCGUAAAGAGCGCGCAGGCGGUGGCUCAAGCCAGGCGUGAAAUCCCCGGGCUUAACCUGGGAAUGGCGUUUGGGACUGGGUCGCUAGAGUGUGGCAGAGGGAGGUGGAAUUCCACGUGUAGCAGUGAAAUGCGUAGAGAUGUGGAGGAACACCGAUGGCGAAGGCAGCCUCCUGGCCAGCACUGACGCUCAUGCACGAAAGCGUGGGAGCAAACAGG
rnacentral:rRNA from 1 species